rnacentral:pre_miRNA from 1 species
UGUGGAAUGGCUGAACCAUAUGGUAGAUAAAUGCUUAACUUUUAAAGAAACUGCCAAAUUGUUUUCCAAAGUGAUUGUACCAUUUUACAUUUCCACCAGCAGU